rnacentral:rRNA from 1 species
AUUGAACGCUGGCGGCAGGCCUAACACAUGCAAGUCGAACGAUCGGCGGACGGGUGAGUAAUGUCUGGGAAACUGCCCGAUGGAGGGGGAUAACUACUGGAAACGGUAGCUAAUACCGCAUACCAUCGGAUGUCCCCAGAUGGGCUUAGCUAGUAGGUGGGGUAACGGCUCACCUAGGCGACGAUCCCUAGCUGGUCUGAGAGGAUGACCAGCCACACUGGAACUGAGGCACGGACCAGGAUCCUACGGGAGGCAGCGGUGGGGAAUAUUGCAAAAUGGGCGCAAGCCUGGUGCAGCCAUGCCGCGUGUAUGAAGAAGGCCUUCGGGUUGUAAAGUACUUUCAGCGAGGAGGCGUUACGCGCAGAAGAAGCAUCGGCUAACUCCGUGCCAGCAGCCGCGGUAAUUC